UCUAGUCCUGAAGAUAAAGGUGACUGA
rnacentral:sRNA from 1 species